UGGGGAAUAUUGGACAAUGGGCGCAAGCCUGAUCCAGCCAUGCCGCGUGAACGAUGAAGGCCUUAGGGUUGUAAAGUUCUUUUGUCAGGGAAGAUAAUGACGGUACCUGAAGAAUAAGCACCGGCUAACUUCGUGCCAGCAGCCGCGGUAAUACGGAGGGAGCUAGCGUUGUUCGGAAUUACUGGGCGUAAAGCGUACGUAGGCGGUGACUCAAGUCAGAGGUGAAAGCCUGGAGCUCAACUCCAGAACUGCCUUUGAAACUAGGUCGCUAGAAUCACGGAGAGGUGAGUGGAAUUCCGAGUGUAGAGGUGAAAUUCGUAGAUAUUCGGAAGAACACCAGUGGCGAAGGCGGCUCACUGGACGUGUAUUGACGCUGAGGUACGAAAGCGUGGGGAGCAAACAGGAUUAGAUACCCCCGUAGUCCCUGAGCGGGCUGGCAAGGCGCAU
rnacentral:rRNA from 1 species